AGACGUCUACAUUAGACUACCCCUGUAGUCCCAGCCGUAAACUAUGCGCGUUAGGUGUACUGGUGACCACGAGUCGACCGGGUGCCGAAGGGAAACCGUGAAACGUGCCGCCGUGGGAAGUACGGUCGCAAGGCUAGAAACUUAAAGGAAUUGGCGGGGAGCACCACAACGGGUGGAGCCUGCGGUUUAAUUGGACUCAACGCCGGAAAUCUCACCGGAUAGGACAGACAUAUGAUAGUCGGGCUGAAGACUCUACUUGAUGAUCUG
rnacentral:rRNA from 1 species